rnacentral:lncRNA from 1 species
GAACAACUAAGGCAGUUUCAAUCCCAAUUUAGUAGCCCUAAUAAUUAACAGGCAGAUCUUGUUGCCACUUGAACACUAAUUGUAUAAUGCUGUAUCAGGUAGUGGCUGUUUAUCUGAAGCUUACAGAUGCAAUAUAGUGUUUUCCCCUAAAACAGCAGUGGGAGGACAGCAGGGAGAACUAGAAGUCUGAUGAAGCCUGUUUGACCAAGAGCAGGGCUGGAAGAGGCUGCAAAAGGACACAGCAGGUAGAGGGAGAAACAGGAAGAAAAGUCCUGAAGAUGUCACUAGUCUCAGAGCUAUUCAGAGGCUGCAUUCUCUGAGCAACCAUCUGAGUAUGGAAUGCGCUACAGUAAGUCACAGAAAGCGUGCUAAAAACAUUUUAGUCAUCACAAUCUCUCAAAUCCACUUAGUCUUCUGAAGAAAACUUCUCUGACGUCUGACAGUAUGAUUGUUUCCCAAACUCACAAUCUAAAGCUGACUACAAGUGAGCUUCAGCCUGCUUCACCUGGCAGCCCAGUGUCACCCUCAGCUGUGCUUCCUUCUAGAGCUC